CAAAGUGCUGUUCGUGCAGGUAGCUUUAUAACAGACCUACUGCAUGAGCAGCACUUCCUGA
rnacentral:pre_miRNA from 1 species